rnacentral:rRNA from 1 species
GAGGCAGCAGUGGGGAAUAUUGCACAAUGGGCGGAAGCCUGAUGCAGCGACGCCGCGUGAGGGAUGACGGCCUUCGGGUUGUAAACCUCUUUCAGCAGGGAAGAAGCCACAAGUGACGGUACCUGCAGAAGAAGCGCCGGCUAACUACGUGCCAGCAGCCGCGGUAAUACGUAGGGCGCAAGCGUUGUCCGGAAUUAUUGGGCGUAAAGAGCUCGUAGGCGGUUUGUCGCGUCUGCUGUGAAAGCCCGGGGCUCAACCCCGGGUCUGCAGUGGGUACGGGCAGACUAGAGUGCAGUAGGGGAGACUGGAAUUCCUGGUGUAGCGGUGAAAUGCGCAGAUAUCAGGAGGAACACCGAUGGCGAAGGCAGGUCUCUGGGCUGUUACUGACGCUGAGGAGCGAAAGCAUGGGGAGCGAACAGGAUUAGAUACCCUGGUAGUCCAUGCCGUAAACGUUGGGCACUAGGUGUGGGGGACAUUCCACGUUCUCCGCGCCGUAGCUAACGCAUUAAGUGCCCCGCCUGGGGAGUACGGCCGCAAGGCUAAAACUCAAAGGAAUUGACGGGGGCCCGCACAAGCGGCGGAGCAUGCGGAUUAAUUCGAUGCAACGCGAAGAACCUUACCAAGGCUUGACAUUCACCGGACCGCACUGGAGACAGUGCUUCCCUUCGGGGUCGGUGGACAGGUGCUGCAUGGGCU